rnacentral:misc_RNA from 1 species
AAUGGACAACUUCCUAGACAGAUAGUA